rnacentral:rRNA from 1 species
UGCAAUCUACCUUAUACUAAGGGACAGCCCAGAGAAAUUUGGAUUAAUACCUUAUAGAAUGUUGAAAUGGCAUCAUUUUAAUAUUAAAGAUUUAUUGGUAUAAGAUGAGCAUGCGUCCCAUUAGUUAGUUGGUAAGGUAACGGCUUACCAAGACGAUGAUGGGUAGGGGUCCUGAGAGGGAGAUCC